GAUGAACGCUGGCGGCGUGCCUAAUACAUGCAAGUCGAGCGAACAGAUGAGGAGCUUGCUCCUCUGACGUUAGCGGCGGACGGGUGAGUAACACGUGGAUAACCUACCUAUAAGACUGGGAUAACUUCGGGAAACCGGAGCUAAUACCGGAUAAUAUAUUGAACCGCAUGGUUCAAUAGUGAAAGACGGUUUUGCUGUCACUUAUAGAUGGAUCCGCGCCGCAUUAGCUAGUUGGUAAGGUAACGGCUUACCAAGGCAACGAUGCGUAGCCGACCUGAGAGGGUGAUCGGCCACACUGGAACUGAGACACGGUCCAGUCUCCUACGGGAGGCAGCAGUAGGGAAUCUUCCGCAAAGGGCGAAAGCCUGACGGAGCAACGCCGCGUGAGUGAUGAAGGUCUUCGGAUCGUAAAACUCUGUUAUUAGGGAAGAACAAAUGUGUAAGUAACUAUGCACGUCUUGACGGUACCUAAUCAGAAAGCCACGGCUAACUACGUG
rnacentral:rRNA from 1 species